GUGAACGCUGGCGGCGUGCUUAACACAUGCAAGUCGAACGAUGAAGUCCUUCGGGAUGGAUUAGUGGCGCACGGGUGAGUAUACUAUAGGUAAUGUGCCUCUUAGUCUGGGAUAGCCACUGGAAACGGUGAUUAAUACUAGAUACACCUCUUUAGCUCAAGCUAGAGAGGGAAACGUUUUUUCGCUUCGAGAUCAGACUAUAUCCUAUCAGUUAGUUGGUGAGGUAAUGGCUCACCAAGGCAAUGACGGGUAGCGGUUCUGAGAGGAUGAUCCGCCACACUGGUACUGAGACACGGACCAGACUCCUACGGGAGGCAGCAGUGAGGAAUAUUGCACAAUGGGGGGAACCCUGAUGCAGCAACGCCGCGUGGAGGAUGACGCAUUUCGGUGUGUAAACUCCUUUUAUAUGUCAAGAAAAUGACGGUAGCAUAUGAAUAAGCACCGGCUAACUCCGU
rnacentral:rRNA from 1 species